UUGGAGGGCAAGUCUGGUGCCAGCAGCCGCGGUAAUUCCAGCUCCAAUAGCGUAUAUUAAAGUUGUUGCAGUUAAAAAGCUCGUAGUUGAAUUUCGGGGUCAGUAGGCUGGUCGUGCCACAGGUAUGUACUGGUCUCACUGAUUCCUCCUUCCUGAUGAACCGUAAUGCCAUUAAUUUGGUGUUGCGGGGAAUCUGGACUGUUACUUUGAAAAAAUUAGAGUGUUUAAAGCAGGCUAACGCUUGAAUACAUUAGCAUGGAAUAAUGAAAUAGGACGUUCGAUCUUAUUUUGUUGGUUUCUAAGAUUGACGUAAUGAUUAAUAGGGAUAGUUGGGGGCAUUAGUAUUCAAUUGUCAGAGGUGAAAUUCUUGGAUUUAUUGAAGACUAACUACUGCGAAAGCAUUUGCCAAGGAUGUUUUCAUUAAUCAAGAACGAAAGUUAGGGGAUCGAAGACGAUCAGAUACCGUCGUAGUCUUAACCAUAAACUAUGCCGACUAGGGAUCGGAUGAUGUUAAUUUUUUAAUGACUCAUUCGGCGCCUUACGGGAAA
rnacentral:rRNA from 1 species